AGCGAACGCUGGCGGCAGGCCUAACACAUGCAAGUCGAACGAACUCUUCGUAGUUAGUGGCGGACGGGUGAGUCACACGUGGGAACGUGCCUUUUUGCUCGGAAUACCUCAGUGUCACUUGUGCUAAUACCGAAUGUGCCCUUCUGGGAAAAGAUUUAUCGACCUUAGAGCGGCCCGCGUCUUUUUAGCUUGUGGGUGAGGUAACGGCGCACCACGGCGUCGAUAAGUAGCUGGUCUGAGAGGAAGGCCAGAGACACUGGGACGGAGACCCGGCCGAGAAUACUAGGGAAGGGAGGAGUGGGGAAUCUAGCGAAAUGGGGUAAAGGAUGACGGAGCCAGGGUUGGUGAAUGAUGAAGGUCGGAGAGAAGAAAAAUUGUUUCACAGGGGACGAUAAUGACGGUACCCGAAGAAGAAGCCCCGGCUAACUUCGUG
rnacentral:rRNA from 1 species